UUUAAGCCUUCUCCUCAUAGCGUCCAUGGUAUUUACUGUAGUCCUGCAGAUGGAAAUCCUAUCCUGCUAACAGCUGGCUCAGAUAUGAAAAUAAGGUUUUGGGACUUGGCUUACCCAGAAAGGUCCUAUGUUGUUGCAGGAAGUACUAGUUCCCCAUCUGUGUCCUACUACAGGAAAAUAAUUGAAGGCACUGAAGUUGUCCAGGAAAUUCAGAAUAAGCAGAAAGUAGGACCAAGUGAUGACACCCCUCGAAGGGGCCCAGAGUCCCUGCCCGUGGGACAUCACGACAUCAUCACUGAUGUUGCCACAUUCCAGACAACACAGGGCUUCAUCGUAACUGCUUCUAGAGAUGGGAUUGUGAAGGUGUGGAAAUAAAAACCUACUGAUUUGUAUAAAUUUUAAUACAGUUAUAAAUAUACUACUAUAACUCAAGAGAAAAGGCAUUUCUAGAGAACAGAUUCAUUUGCUUAAUUUUCAAAAUUAUGUCUCCAUAUUACUGUUUCAUGACUGACUAAAUGACACCCAAAAUGGUUAAGAUGUACUUGACUAGUUUACUUAUGCAUCUCUUUGCAAGAAUCAGCCAGCCAACAAUGUCUGGGAUUUUUAUUGUAUAUGUUAUAGAGGUGAGAAAUGUAAAAUAUGAAAAUGAAUAUGUUUAUUUUGUAUUGAAAAAGAUGGUUG
rnacentral:sRNA from 1 species